CGCUGGUGAAGCGGCUCGUCAGGUUUAUUAGGAAACCUGACAAUUGGAGUGAGAAUCCCAGUGUGGAAAAUCAGGAAAGAGGCUGGUAUGAGCGACAGAGAAGUCAUUCAGGAAAGAGGUUAUUGAAUUCAUUGGAGAAUGAAUGCUGUUCUGAAUUUGUAUCUUAAGGGAAAUACUACAAAAUGUUGCAGAAGGUGCUGGAUGGAUAUCUAAAGUUCAAAAAGGAAGAGAACCACACGAGCUGGAGAUUCAGGAAGCA
rnacentral:lncRNA from 1 species